GCAGUGAAACUUGUAACGCUAAGGAUGAUAGUAAGUCUUCAUGUACCUCCUCCUGCGGCCUUAUCCAUAACAUAACUUAUCCUUUUCGACUAAACGAUGAUCCGAAGAGAUGUGGCGAUAGAAGGUAUACUCUUUCCUGUGAGAACAACAAUAUUACAGUACUAGAUCUACAUUAUCAUGGUGAAUACUAUGGUAAAUACCACGUACAGGCAAUCAAUUACGAGAACCAAACAAUCCGACUUCGAGAUCCUGGCCUUGACAACAACAAUUGCUCUUCCCUGCCUCGAAAUUUUCCGCCUGUCAAUUUUGCUGGAGUUACAUAUUCUUCAGUUAUGUAUAUGAUUGGUCCAUAUGUUUCACUGUUUUCAACGUCAGUAUAUUACCUGAGGUGUAGAAACCAAGUAAAUUCUUCUCUGUACGUGGAUACUGCUCCAUGCUUGAAUAAUAGUGCCACUUCUUUGAUCCAACCAAAAUCUUAUAGUUAUGUCAUGGUUGACCGCCCAUAUAGCCCAAGCUAUAUGGAAGAUUUGAAUGAGGGUUGCAGAGUCGAGGGGAUGGCUCUCGUGCGGUUGGACUACUCUAGCGGGUCCUACACUAAUGACUCUUAUAGUUAUGAAUUUAUACACAGUGCAGUCAUGAAUGGCUUUGAGGUUCGAGUGUAUUGGCCUGAUGAACUAGAUUCACCCUGCAAUGGCCUCACUUCCACUGGCAAUUGUUAUCCACGCACCAUCCCAGGUGCGUAAUUCUCAAAUGAAGUACUAACUUAUAAUUACUAUGUUCUCGAAUAAGCUUAUUUGAUGGAUCGUUUGUAGAGUUUAUUUUACAUUGUAUUUCAAUAAUUCAUCUGUCUAUCUUUUAGUUCUUUCUUUAAAAGCCAGUCAUACUAAUGUUUUUUUUAGAAAAAUCAUAAUCUUCUAUUUUCUUUACUACAAUUUAAUGUGUUUAUGGUUUUGGAUUUUUCUAAUUUUUUUUAUCUAUGAAUGAUGUACUAAAAUAUAAAUAGUUUAGAUCGUUGUAACAAAUACUAGUGUUUUUUUGAAAAAUCGUAUUCUUCUAUUUUCUUUACUACAAUUGACUGUGUUUAUGGAUUUGGAUUUUUCUAAUUUUUUUUAUCUAUGAAUGAUGUACUAAAAUAUAAACAGUAUAGAUCCUUGUAACAACAUGAGCAGCACCAGUUGUUCCUCAACGGAAGAGGAAUAUAUAUAUAUAUAUAUAUAUAUAUAUAUAUAUAUAUAUUUCUGUGCGAAACCUCCCGCUAAGCCAUUCAUUUUGCUUGAAAAAUAUACUGAAAAUAUAACUUUAGUCCAUAAAAUUUAAUUUUCUCCACAUAAAACCCAAUAUAAGUUUUUUACUCGAAUAAAACUCAUUGACUAGAUUCCAGCAAAUUCAUUAAUUAUAUCUGACUUUACACAUUUAAAAAAUUUUGAUGCCCAAAACACCCCUAUUUGAAUGUUUGAUUUACACAAUUAAUUCCAUACAAAUUGUAAGGGAUAAUUAAUGAUUUUACAAAAAUAAAAAUAAAUAAAUUCAUUGCCUAAUAUAUAAUACCAAUAAAACAUGCCUAAUAAAUGUAGUAAUACAUGCUCAGUUAAGUCAAUAAAAUUAUAUUUUAUAUAUAAAUGUAGGUAAAUUAUUUUACACACACAUAUAUAUAACAACAAAAAAAAAAAUAUGCCUGAUAUACAUAAAAAUUCAAGCAAAAUAAUUUACCUACAUAAUAAAGCAUACCCAAUAUAUGCAAAAUAAUGUACCUACAUAACAAAAUAUUAUUAUUUUAUUCAAUACUAGUUUACCUAUUAUUUGUGCAUAUAAUAAUAAAAUGUGCCUACAUACAAAAUAAAAUACCUACAUAAUGAAGAAAUGUUAUUUGAUUCAAAAUUAAUUUAGUUACAAAAUAAAGCAAUUGUAUUCUAUUCAAGAUUAAUUUACCUAUUAUUCGUACAUAUAUCUUAUAAUAAUAAAAUGUGCCAAAUAUAUGUAAUAAUACAUGGAAAAUAAAUUACCUACAAAGUAAAAGAAUGUUAUUUGAUUCAAUAUUAAUUUACCUACAAAAUGUAUGUUAUUUGCUCAUCAUAAAUUUAAAUAUAGGUAGAUUAAUUAGUUUAAUAUGUUUGAUCAUAUAUGUAGCACUGUGCAUGUAUAUAUAUAUGUGAACGUAUAGUAGUACUAUAUAUAGGUAAACUAUAUAUGUGUGUACACACACACAGAGAUAUAUAUAUAUAUAUAUAUAUAUAUAUAUAUUGAGCUUAUGGUGGUAAUAUAUACAUUUGAACAUAUAUAUGUGUGUUUUAGGGGUAAUAAUAUGUGCAAUAAUUAUAUUUUCAUUGUAAUUAAGGUGAGUAAUAACAUUUAAUGAUUUUAUUUUAAAUAUUGUGGUACAAGUUGUAAAUAUUUGGUAAUAAUAGGUCAAUUACUUCUAUACUUGACAGUUAUUUUUAAAUUUGGAUUUUAUUUAGUUAUUUAUAACUAGGUGGGUUUUUGUCUAGGAAAUAAGAGUUGCAAGGAUCUAUAUCUAAAGAACCCAAAAAUAUAUCAACAAUAUUCACAUCAUGUCAACAGUAUAUAGAUACAUAUAAACAUUAUUAUGGAUAUCAUAUCGUAACAAUAAUAUCUUAAUAAUACAAUAUUUAUGAGGUUAUCUGAACUUUAUAAAGAGAUAAACAUUUCAUCCUAUUAAGACUCUUUAUAUUGUGGUUGUUGUCUAUAUUUCUAUUACAGCUAAACACUUAUAAUUGUUUUUCUUAUAAUUAUUUUUCUUAGGGUAAAUUAUACUUUGCCAUCUUUUGAGAUCGAUUUCAAUUCCUUACAACAUCUUUAAAACAUUUCACUUUCAUAUCUCAAAUACUAUUUUUUUUCAAUAUAGUACAUCUAUUACAUUUUUCAUUCAUUUAUCCGUUAAGAAUUGACGUGACUGCUACAGUUAUGUCACGUGGCUGCCAAAUUUGUGAUAACAAAUUUAUAUUUUUAUUCAUUUAAAAAUAAUUAAUUAAAAAAGAUAUCAAUUAAAAAAAAAAAAAAAACAACCCAGAAGCCAUCUUCUUCCCCGCCCCCCUUCCCUGCAACCCAAACCCCCCAUCACCCCACCCCACCCAAAACCCCCAAAAUCAAAAGGGGGAAUUGAAUUCUCAAGACGAAAAAAAAAAAGCACUUCACACAGAUCCAAUCAGAGCAAAACCCAGAUUUGAUCACACACAGAAACCCUCAAAUUAAAACCCAGAUGCAAAAUCCCCAAAUUUAACUGAAAAUCGCAGCUUAGACGGAGCUAGAAGAUUACCUUACCAUCGACGAUGAGGCAGCAGUCCAUGCGAUCAUUGUGAGUGGAGACCUCAGUCAAAGCAAAGGGAAUUCUAGAGAGAGAAAGAAGAGAGAGAGAGAGAAGAGAAAUGGACUGAGAGAGGGAGAAGAGAAGUGGACUGAGAAGGAGAAAGCAGCUACAAGACCCGAUCCGUCUUCUUCUUCUUGUCUCCGUGGGGGCACCUCUGUGUGUCUUCUGCAACUCUCGUUUCCUGGGUUUUUUAGGGUUUUCGGUUGGGGGGGUUGCGGGGGAGGUGGGGUGGGGUGGAAUGGGGGGUUUGGGUUGCAGGGAGGGGGUCGGGGAAGAAGAUGGGUUCUUGUUUUUUUGUUUUUUUUUAUUUAUUUAUUUUUUAUUUAAAUUAAUAAUUUUUAAAUUAUUUAUUUUUAAAUGAAUAAAAAAAAUUUGCCACGUGGCAUAAAUAUGGCAACCAUAUCAGCUUUUAACGGAUCAAUAGAUGAAAAAUAUAACGGAUGUACUAUAUUGAAAUAAAAUAGUACUUGAUGUAUAAAAGUGAAAUAUUUUAAAGAUAUUGUAAGGAAUUGAAAUCGAUACCAAACUUAAGAUGGUAAAGUGUAAUUUACCAUUUUUCUUAUAUAAUGGCCAUUUCCGAAUACUAUAUCCCAAUUUUGCGGUCAAUUAUAUGACAAAUGAAUUAUGUUGCUUUAUUUCUUAUAUAUGCUAAUGCUGUACAGGUACAAAUGGCAACAACUUGAAUUUUAUUUGCCAACGGUUGUUAUGCUAAUGUUGUUUUAUUCUUUUACUGUAGGUUUCUUUCAACAUGCAUGGGCUAAAAUCCGUGAGUGGCCCCUCUCCAUCCGUAAGUGGUCCCUCUCCAAAACAAAAAUAAAGAAAAUAAAUCUCUCCUUUUUGUUUCUCUUUAAAAUUCAAUAUUUACAACUUUAGAGUAGACCU
rnacentral:lncRNA from 1 species